GAUGAACGCUAGCGGCAGGCUUAACACAUGCAAGUCGAGGGGUAUAGUUCUUCGGAGCUAGAGACCGGCGCACGGGUGCGUAACGCGUAUGCAAUCUACCUUUUACAGAGGGAUAGCCCAGAGAAAUUUGGAUUAAUACCUCAUAGUAUGUGAGAAUCGCAUGGUUUUCACAUUAAAGUUCCAACGGUAAAAGAUGAGCAUGCGUCCCAUUAGCUAGAUGGUAAGGUAACGGCUUACCAUGGCGACGAUGGGUAGGGGUCCUGAGAGGGAGAUCCCCCACACUGGUACUGAGACACGGACCAGACUCCUACGGGAGGCAGCAGUGAGGAAUAUUGGACAAUGGGCGCAAGCCUGAUCCAGCCAUGCCGCGUGCAGGAUGACGGUCCUAUGGAUUGUAAACUGCUUUUGUACAGGAAGAAACACUCCCUCGUGAGGGAGCUUGACGGUACUGUAAGAAUAAGGAUCGGCU
rnacentral:rRNA from 1 species